rnacentral:rRNA from 1 species
UACGGAGGGUGCGAGCGUUAAUCGGAAUUACUGGGCGUAAAGCGCGCGUAGGCGGCUUUGCAAGUCGAGUGUGAAAUCCCCAGGCUUAACCUGGGAACUGCAUUCGAGACUGCAUGGCUAGAGUAUGGGAGAGGGAAGUGGAAUUUCAGGUGUAGCGGUGAAAUGCGUAGAUAUCUGAAGGAACAUCAGUGGCGAAAGCAACUUCCUGGACCAAUACUGACGCUCAUGUGCGAAAGCGUGGGGAGCAAACAGG